CCUACGGGGCGCAGCAGUCGAGAAUCAUUCACAAUGGGGGAAACCCUGAUGGUGCGACGCCGCGUGGGGGAAUGAAGGUCUUCGGAUUGUAAACCCCUGUCAUGUGGGAGCAAAUUAAAAAGAUAGUACCACAAGAGGAAGAGACGGCUAACUCUGUGCCAGCAGCCGCGGUAAUACAGAGGUCUCAAGCGUUGUUCGGAAUCACUGGGCGUAAAGCGUGCGUAGGCUGUUUCGUAAGUCGUGUGUGAAAGGCGCGGGCUCAACCCGCGGACGGCACAUGAUACUGCGAGACUAGAGUAAGGGAGAGGGAACCGGAAUUCUCGGUGUAGCAGUGAAAUGCGUAGAGAUCGAGAGGAACACUCGUGGCGAAGGCGGGUUCCUGGACAUUAACUGACGCUGAGGCACGAAGGCCAGGGGAGCGAAAGGGAUUAGAUACCCGUGUAGUC
rnacentral:rRNA from 1 species